rnacentral:lncRNA from 1 species
AAACAGCCCCAGUUCCUUCAGUCUCUCCUCGUAGGGCAUAUUCUCCAAGCCCUUCACAAGCCUUGUUGCCCUUCUCUGGAUCUGCUCCAGCACCUCCAUGUCCUUUGUGUACUGAGGUGCCCAAAACUGAACAGAGUACUCGAGGCGAGGCCUCCCCAGGGCUGAGUAGAGCGGCAGGAUGACUUCCCUAGUCCUGCUCACCACACCAUUCCUGAUCCAAGCCAGGAUGCCACUGGCCUUCUUGGCCAUCUGGGCACACUGCUGGCUCGUAUUCAGCGGACUGUCCAUGAGUACACCAAGGUCCCUUUCCAUCAGGCAGCUUUCCAGCC